UAUCCUACGGGACGCAGCAGUGAGGAAUAUUGGUCAAUGGGCGGGAGCCUGAACCAGCCAAGUCGCGUGAGGGAAGACGGUCCUACGGAUUGUAAACCUCUUUUGCCGGGGAGCAACGGGGUCCUUGCGAGGGCCCAAUGAGAGUACCCGGAGAAAAAGCAUCGGCUAACUCCGUGCCAGCAGCCGCGGUAAUACGGAGGAUGCGAGCGUUAUCCGGAUUUAUUGGGUUUAAAGGGUGCGUAGGCUGUUGGAUAAGUUAGAGGUCAAAUGUCGGGGCUUAACCCCGUGCCUGCCUCUGAUACUGU
rnacentral:rRNA from 1 species